AGCGAACGCUGGCGGCAGGCCUAACACAUGCAAGUCGAACGAAGUCUUCGGACUUAGUGGCGGACGGGUGAGUAACACGUGGGAACGUGCCUUUAGGUUCGGAAUAACUCAGGGAAACUUGUGCUAGUACCGAAUGUGCCCUUCGGGGGAAAGAUUUAUCGCCUUUAGAGCGGCCCGCGUCUGAUUAGCUAGUUGGUGAGGUAAAGGCUCACCAAGGCGACGAUCAGUAGCUGGUCUGAGAGGAUGAUCAGCCACAUUGGGACUGAGACCCGGCCCAAACUCCUACGGGAGGCAGCAGUGGGGAAUCUUGCGCAAUGGGCGAAAGCCUGACGCAGCCAUGCCGCGUGAAUGAUGAAGGUCUUAGGAUUGUAAAAUUCUUUCACCGGGGACGAUAAUGACGGUACCCGGAGAAGAAGCCCCGGCUAACUUCGUGCCAGCAGCCGCAGUAAUAC
rnacentral:rRNA from 1 species